UCUUGGCACCCGCCUGUGUGUUCCUGGAGGGAGACGUCUCCUCUGCCAGUUUGGGGCCAACUGGUCUGGGGCCUGUCAGUAACUGACAGCAGGCAGACUCGCCGGGGAAAGAGCUUUAUGCUGACACGCACACAGGGGCACUCGGCGACGAGCGACUGCCGCAUCCCACAAGUACAGAAGAUGAGGGGAAGUCCUUGAGAGAUGUCUGCUCUUCUCCUCAAUAUCUCAAAAUUGUUCUCUUGGUCUUCUUGGACAUGAUGGGCUGCUAAGCAGACAGAAAUAAAAAAAUACUGUUGAGCUGUGCAACUAUUCACAUAUUCCAUCUCAAACAAAAACACA